rnacentral:rRNA from 1 species
AUUGAACGCUGGCGGCAGGCCUAACACCUGCAAGUCGAGCGAGCGGCGGACGGGUGAGUAAUGUCUGGGAAACUGCCUGAUGGAGAGGGAGAACUACUGGAAACGGUAGCUAAUCCCGCAUACCAUCAGAUGUGCCCAGACGGGAUUAGCUAGUAGGGGGGGUAAAGGCUCACCUAGGCGACGAUCCCUAGCUGGUCUGAGAGGAUGACCAGCCACACGGGAACUGAGACACGGUCCAGACUCCUACGGGAGGCAGCAGUGGGGAAUAUUGCACAAUGGGCGCAAGCCUGAUGCAGCCAUGCCGCGUGUGUGAAGAAGGUCUUCGGGUUGUAAAGCACUUUCAGCUGGGAGGCGUUACCCGCAGAAGAAGCACCGGCUAACUCCGUGCCAGCAGCCGCGGUAAUAC